UAUGUGUGCCCGUGGGAGAAGUCUAAAGGGAGAGGAUAGGAAAACACUCCUAAUGUGAAAGUAGAAAGGGGGAUACUGACGAAGAAGAGGUUGAAAGGUAGACAGAAAUGAAGAGCAGAGGAAGAAUAAGAAUGUGAGCGAGGCCAACCAAAACUAAAGAUAGAUGAAAAACCCAAAUGGAAACGACUGUAUAAAUGAAGUCUUCCUGAGUGAGCUGGAAUCUCAAAGUAGAGCUUCCUUCAGAGGCCAGAAGAGGGCAUCAGAGAACCUGGAGUUACUGGUGGCUUUGAGCUGCCUCACUUGGGUCUAGGAAACUAAGGUUCCUUCAGCCCUCUGCAAUUGCAAGCGAUGCUUAACUGCUGAGUUGCAGCUCUUCAGUGAGACCCCAGGAACAGCAACCAUUUUACUGUGAAGGACAAGGAUGCAGGUUCCAGACAUCUCGGGAUUAUCCGGGGCCAGCGCUUUAUUGAUGGAGCUAUCUUCCCAGUCCCUUAAGAUGGUGAAGAAGCUAACCUGCCUGCAGAGAAAUGACAGAGAACGAGGUUCUGGGUUUGGAGAGAAAGUUCUGUGCUUAAAGAGCUUGCUGUGCAAGCAGUAAGUGAAACUGGAGUUAGGUCUACAGGAAAGUGUGGUGUCCACACACUGGCAAAUCCUGGCACACUGGAAAAGCGGGAGUAAGGAGCCCUGCAGCAAACCUUUCAUCUAGACAAGCCAUAUCAAUCAUCUCUGAAGGUUCACCUGAGAGACCUCAGUGAUUAAGGUGGAGAGAAAUCAAGGAAGAUGCUUGACGCUGGCGUUGGAUCUCCACAGGCACACACUCAGACCUGCAAAACACACACACACACACACACACACACACACACAGACCAUGUACAUAGACAUGAUAAAAAAAUAAAAGGAAGCUCCCUGGCAAGUCAAAGGAGAAAAUGAUUAUGAUGCUAACAUUAAAAAAGAAAAAGAUUUCUGAGAAAUGAAUGACAUACUUUUCCUGAACAUCCACUGCUCACCGGUGCUCAACUCUACUCUGUAAUCAUAACGGUGCCUCUCAGAGCUAGCAUCCCUGGUAAAUCUAAGCACAAACUGUCACUCAGGAAAUUUGAUGUUUCAGUGUAAGUCAACAGAAUUUGAAGUGCUCUGGGAUUUGAAUUUGAAGAUUCAUGAGGCAAAUUGAGAAUUUCAUGUGCAAUCUAGAAGAAAAAUUAUAAUUUGUGAGAAAUGUCAACUGUCUUCACCUUCACUAUGGUCAACUGGAGUCUCAGAACUAGGAAUGCUGGAAACAACCCAGAUGUCCAUCAACGGAGGAAUGGAUACAGAAAUUGUGGUACUUUUACACAAUGGAAUACUACUCAGCAAUUAAAAACAAGGAAAUCAUGAAUUUUGCAGGCAAAUGGUGGGAUCUAGAAAAAAAAAAUCAUCCUGAGUGAGGUAUCCCAAAAGCAGAAAGACAUACAUGGUAUAUACUCACUUAUAUAGCCCUAUAAGAUAGGAUAAACAUACUAAAAUAUGUACAACUAAAGAAGAUAAACAAGAAAGAGGUCCAGGGGUAAAAUAAUCAAUACUCAUCUAGAAAGACAAAGGGGAUGGACAUUAGAAAUAGGAGAAAACAAGUGGCAGGACAUUAGCCUACCACAGAGGGCACCUGAAAGACUCUACCUAGCAAUGUAUCAAGGCGUUGCUGAGACCCAUAACCAAGCCUUCUGCAGAGUGUAGCGAAUCAUAUGAAGGAAGGAGGAAUUAGUAUAUCCUAGAGGGGACAGGGAGCCCCACAAGGUCCAAAUAUAUCUGUGCACAGGGGUCUUCUAUGAGACUGUCUAUCCAACCAAGGACUAUGCAUGGAUAUAACCUACAACCCCUGCUCACACGUGUCCCAUGGUAGCUCAGUAUCCAAGAAGGUUCCCUAAUGAGGGGGACAGGGACUGUUUCUGACAUGAACUCAUGAACUUCCCCUCCCUUCUGAAGGAGAAGCAGCCUUGCUACACCACAGAUAAGGACAUUGCAGCCAUCAUGGGGAUACCUGAUAAGCUAGGGCCAGACUGAAGGAGAGGAGGACACCCCCUCUCAGUGGACUCAGAAGGGGGCAGGGAGGAGAUGAGGGAGAGAGGAAAAGAGGGAGGGGGCUACAGCUGGGAUACAGGUGAAUGUAUAAAAUUAUUUAAAAAUAAAAAAUAUUAAAAAAAAAAGAACUAGGAAUGUCUUAUACAUCUGAAUGUAGAAUCAGGUUAUGUGAGAGUUAUCAAAAGUCAAGGAAAACGAAAAUCGUGCUCCAUACUGUGUCAUCCUGGGGAGCCCGAAGGCAGAAUUUUGAGAUAUCUUAGACAAUGGAGCAACUCACUCUCUGGGGCUUGGGCUAGAAAGGUGGCCAGACACAGCUGGCUUACCAGGAUCUCCACUAAGAGGUGCUUUCCUUCCUCUUCUUGGAACAAGGACUGAGAUCCAUUCACUCAUUUUUCUCACAUCAGAGUCUACUCUGUCUCUUGGAAUUCCAUCUGCCAGAGAUAGUCCAUUUGAGAUGCUGUUGAGGUAUUGUGGAGCUUUUGAGAAGUAUGGCCUCAGUAGAAGUCUGUAGAUGAGUGGCUAAGAAGCCUUCGGAGGACAAGGGGGAUCCAGUACCUUCCUAUUGCAAUUUUAUCCUUUAUUGUGCUUUGGUUGCUUUGCUUUCAGUUGAGAUGCUUCAUUACAUCUCCCAAAAAAAAUAAGCCAACAAACCAUGGGCUGAAACCUCUAAAACCAUGAGCCAAACUAAAUCUCUUUCUCAAAAUAGUGAACUGAGACUUUUGUAAUAGUGACAGAAACCCAACUUACAUAAUAGCCAUAGUGGGGACAUGUAAUUAUCACUACACAGGACAUGCCACAGGUGUUUCACAAUCUGCUUGGUCUCAGUGAGACCUGAGGAGUUCCUGUCUGCGUGACCAAGAGAAUGGAGCAGUUGAGAAGAGAGUUUGGAGCCAGUGUGAAUGCCAUGGAGCACAUACUUCACAUCUUCUCACAUUCUGGAUGCCUGUUUCAUGCCAUGCAGCAGGCUAAUCCCUGAGGAUUAGGGCCAGGAAGACAUGUGGAAGGAGUGUGCAAUUGGGCAAGAGGAAAGGGGACAAAGCAGAUCCUAGCCAGGAGAUCUGACGAUUACUCAGGGAAGGUUAUAAAAUACAUCACUGUUCUAAGGGACAAACUGAGUCCUGACAAAUCUUCAAGGCAAGCUUUAACCAAGUCUCUUUCCCCCAACUAGAUAGGAUGAAUUGUUUUCCAAAAUAAAUCUGCAAAAUGAAAUUGACAAAAGUGAAAGGUCUUUGAGAAAAAUAUGAACUAAAAUCAGGUUCUCAAGAUGAAUAUUUCAGCACAACUCAGCAUAUAUUUAAAAUGAAAUGUAAAGUAUUCCUAUCAAGAAGGUUCAAAGCUCUCCAAGCAAAAUUGUUUGACCUGUUUGGCAGUAAAAUAAAUACAAUGUGUGGUCUGUUUCAGGCCCCUGUCCAAGUCCAAUCACAUUACAUUUUCAUAGUCUCAACAUUUAAAAGCUCCAUCACUGUUGUGUCAACAAUGGCAUAUGGGAACAUCUCCCAAACACAUGGCAACCAGCACAUUAUGCAAACACGUUUGCUCCAUGAGCCAGAAUCGGCUGAUUUCCAGAAAAUAAAAUCUUACCAAGUGACAGGAGGAUUUGUGUGCUACAUCUCAGAACCUCUUCAUUUGAAACACAGCACGUGAGCUUCAAGAGUUCAGAUCCACUCCAUGAACUGUCAGUUGACUUUCCAAAAUCACGAACAUCUUUUUUCAGUUCAAAUCAGGGAGCAGAGGCUAAAAUGCCAGUUCUCUGGCUCUGAACCCAGUUUGCUCUCCAUUGCACAGCAUGGUUAGCUUAAUUUUUCAUACUGCUUUAGUCUGAGAUACAAUUAGUAUGUACCCACCAAUGGUUUCCCCUUUUCAUUAUUAAAUAAAACAAGUAAUAUAUGACAGAAAGCUCAAACUUGAGUCCACAGGCUGGCUGCCAUGGGUUUAAAUUAAUUGCUUAAUUUUCCUAAACUGGUUUUAUAGCCUAGAACCAUGAAGAAUAAAUUGAAGAUGGUUUCAAAGACAGAAUGAAGAGGACUACAAAUAAUAAACACUAUACAAAUAUAUUAGUAUGUUAAUAAGAAUCAUUUUUCCUGACUGGGAUUAAGAAUCGGUGGGGAGCGGUACUUGUUGCCAAGGCUAAUGACCUGAAUUCUUUCUGUGGGACCCAGGUGGUUGAAGGAAAAGAACCAAGUCCUAUGGGUUGUCUUCUGCCCUCCACAGUGUACUGUGAUAAGUUUGCGUGUGAGCAUGCAUGCACACACACAGAAACAAAUAAAAAGUUGAGAGAAGCAUAUUCAACCAAAUUGCCUUGGGAAGAAUAGGAGUAAUAAAGUGUGCAGCUUGGUCAUGACCACUGAACCAGUGAUCAGCAAGACCUUCCCUGUUUUCUGGUUCAGUGACUUCCUAGGCAGAGCCUGGAAGCAAACAGAUGUUCACAAAAUACUUGCUCCACUAAGGAAGCCACAGGAAACUUGAACUGCAUAUUUUCCACAAGGGUCCAAAUCCCCAAGUACCUGCUGGUUUCACUGGCAUGUGCAAGGUUCGGUGAGCAAAUGCAUUCAUCUGAGACUAGUGUUAGUUGUUGUUCACAUGUUGGCUAGUGAAUGACAGCAUUUGAGUGGAAAGUUGAACAUUCAUUGUGUCCUUUCUUUGGUCCAGUCUAGAGUAUGAAAAGUUAUGCUUUAGCCUUCAGGGUGGGGCUUGCUUAUUCGUUCCCAUUUAUCAAAAAGUCAGGAGACCGUGGAGACAUACACAAGGCCAAGGAGCUUGCCGCAAGUUCAUCCGGUAAAUCCUCUCUGGGACACACAGAUCCUGAGGGAGGGCUGCCCUGCCAGACCACUUCCUGUGUUACAUCCUGAGGCCUUCACAGUUUUGGCCUCUCUCUAGCAGGCCCUUCCCUUUACAGCUGGUCUGCCUGACAGUUUUCAAACUAAAAUAAUUCAUGUCUCAGACAUCUUAUUACCACUUGUUUUGAGUUGAACACUGCCCCUUUCUUCCAAAUGGAUGCCUCUACCCUAAACACCUGAAUGUCAGUCACCAUUUGGAUAGAUACAGUGUCUUUGCUGAUGGAGUCAGACUGGGAAUCUCAAGUGGAAAUGAUCGAGAAUUUAGAUCUGCUACAUCAGAUGACUGCAGUCCUCCUAAGAGAAAAGGGACGGUUUGAGCAUAGAGACAUGGAGGAGCUAGAGCUACAGAGGCUACAGAGAAGAAUAUGCUGCAAAUACAGACACAGGCUCUGCUCAGAUGUACGUAUCGUAUCAUUCCGGUAGCAUCACAGCCUGUGUGAAGAGCUAGCACAGAUGUGUACACAGAGUCUUUUAGACUUCUGGUCUCUAGGACUGUGAAUGAACACUUUUGCCUCUUUGAGCAACUGUGGCAUCUCCGUGGGUCAUGUCUUAAGGCACCUCAAAGAAAUGAAAGCAUCACAAGACCACUUCCUCCAUACAGAAUAAAGAGGAGCCCUCGGGGGCUUUUCAACACACUUAGGAAUCAGGGAUCCCAUACAGAGCCAAACGUGUAGGUUGCACUCCACAUGAGAAAACCUGGCGUGAACUACAAGCCACACAAGGACAACACCAGCCGUGGCUGCCCAGCAUCCAGUCUUGCUCUGGAUCUGAGAUCACCUAGUAUCAAGAGCAACGCUGACUUAAAACAUAUCACUCCUCCC